rnacentral:rRNA from 1 species
GCUGGCGGCGUGCUUAACACAUGCAAGUCGAACGGUCCUUCGGGACAGUGGCGGACGGGUGAGUAACGCGUGGGAAUCUGCCCUUAGGAGGGGGAUAACGGUUGGAAACGACCGCUAAUACCCCAUAUGCCGAGAGGUGAAAUGAAAUUCGCCUGAGGAUGAGCCCGCGUCUGAUUAGCUAGUUGGUGGGGUAAAGGCCUACCAAGGCGACGAUCAGUAGCUGGUCUGAGAGGAUGAUCAGCCACACUGGGACUGAGACACGGCCCAGACUCCUACGGGAGGCAGCAGUGGGGAAUUUUCCGCAAUGGGCGAAAGCCUGACGGAGCAACGCCGCGUGAGGGAUGAAGGCCUCUGGGCUGUAAACCUCUUUUCUCAAGGAAGAAGAUCUGACGGUACUUGAGGAAUAAGCCACGGCUAAUUCCGUGCCAGCAGCCGCGGUAAUACGGGAGUGGCAAGCGUUAUCCGGAAUUAUUGGGCGUAAAGCGUCCGCAGGCGGCCUUGUAAGUCUGUUGUUAAAGCGUGGAGCUUAACUCCAUUUCAGCAAUGGAAACUACAAGGCCCGAGUGUGGUAGGGGCAGAGGGAAUUCCCGGUGUAGCGGUGAAAUGCGUAGAUAUCGGGAAGAACACCAGUGGCGAAGGCGCUCUGCUGGGCCAUAACUGACGCUCAUGGACGAAAGCCAGGGGAGCGAAAGGGAUUAGAUACCCCUGUAGUCCUGGCCGUAAACGAUGAACACUAGGUGUCGGGGGAAUCGACCCCCUCGGUGUCGUAGCCAACGCGUUAAGUGUUCCGCCUGGGGAGUACGCACGCAAGUGUGAAACUCAAAGGAAUUGACGGGGGCCCGCACAAGCGGUGGAGUAUGUGGUUUAAUUCGAUGCAACGCGAAGAACCUUACCAGGGUUUGACAUCCUGCGAACCCCUGAGAAAUCGGGGGGUGCCUUCGGGAACGCAGUGACAGGUGGUGCAUGGCUGUCGUCAGCUCGUGUCGUGAGAUGUUGGGUUAAGUCCCGCAACGAGCGCAACCCACGUCUUUAGUUGCCAGCAUUCAGUUGGGCACUCUAGAGAGACCGCCGGUGAUAAACCGGAGGAAGGUGUGGAUGACGUCAAGUCAUCAUGCCCCUUACAUCCUGGGCUACACACGUACUACAAUGCUACGGACAAAGGGCAGCAAGCUCGCGAGAGUUAGCAAAUCCCAUGAACCGUGGCUCAGUUCAGAUCGUAGGCUGCAACUCGCCUACGUGAGGGAGGAAUCGCUAGUAAUCGCAGGUCAGCAUACUGCGGUGAAUACGUUCCCGGGCCUUGUACACACCGCCCGUCACACCAUGGAAGUUGGCCAUGCCCGAAGUCGUUACUCCAACCC